UACGGGGGGGGUAAGCGUUGUUCGGAAUUACUGGGCGUAAAGCGCACGUAGGCGGACUAUUAAGUCAGGGGUGAAAUCCCGGAGCUCAACUUCGGAACUGCCUUUGAUACUGAUGGUCUUGAGACCGGAAGAGGUGAGUGGAAUUCCUAGUGUAGAGGUGAAAUUCGUAGAUAUUAGGAAGAACACCAGUGGCGAAGGCGGCUCACUGGUCCGGUUCUGACGCUGAGGUGCGAAAGCGUGGGGAGCAAACAAG
rnacentral:rRNA from 1 species